AUGCUUGAAAUUAGGCACUGGAGAAGUUUCCGUCAAGAAGCAAUGGAAAGUGCACCCAAUGCUGCACAUGGUCUGAUGAACCUCAGGAUAACAAAAGAAAAUGCAUCUAAGAGAAACAAUAUAGUAUGCCCCGAAGAGACAGUCCACUGCCCAGUUGGUUUCUCUGGCAUGCCAACCCCAUACCUUUAUUCCCGUGUGUGUGUAAGAUCCACACAAAAGCCAAUAUGGUUGGAGGCUAAAAGGACCCCAAGAGGCUGCACAGGAUGCUAUAUUCACAUGAAGCUUUUCCUUUUGGACUUUGAUGAGUCAUAA
rnacentral:lncRNA from 1 species